rnacentral:rRNA from 1 species
UACGAAGGGGGCUAGCGUUGUUCGGAAUUACUGGGCGUAAAGCGCACGUAGGCGGAUCGAUCAGUCAGGGGUGAAAUCCCAGAGCUCAACUCUGGAACUGCCUUUGAUACUGUCGAUCUAGAGUAUGGAAGAGGAGUGUGGAAUUCCUGGUGUAGCGGUGAAAUGCGCAGAUAUCAGGAAGAACACCUAUGGCGAAGGCAGCACUCUGGGACGGUACUGACGCUGAGACGCGAAAGCGUGGGGAGCGAACAGG